GCUUCUUUUUCCACCGGAGCUUGCUCCACCGGAAAAAGAGGAGUGGCGAACGGGUGAGUAACACGUGGGUAACCUGCCCAUCAGAAGGGGAUAACACUUGGAAACAGGUGCUAAUACCGUAUAACAAUCGAAACCGCAUGGUUUUGAUUUGAAAGGCGCUUUCGGGUGUCGCUGAUGGAUGGACCCGCGGUGCAUUAGCUAGUUGGUGAGGUAACGGCUCACCAAGGCGACGAUGCAUAGCCGACCUGAGAGGGUGAUCGGCCACAUUGGGACUGAGACACGGCCCAAACUCCUACGGGAGGCAGCAGUAGGGAAUCUUCGGCAAUGGACGAAAGUCUGACCGAGCAACGCCGCGUGAGUGAAGAAGGUUUUCGGAUCGUAAAACUCUGUUGUUAGAGAAGAACAAGGAUGAGAGUAACUGUUCAUCCCUUGACGGUAUCUAACCAGAAAGCCACGGCUAACUACGUGCCAGCAGCCGCGGUAAUACGUAGGUGGCAAGCGUUGUCCGGAUUUAUUGGGCGUAAAGCGAGCGCAGGCGGUUUCUUAAGUCUGAUGUGAAAGCCCCCGGCUCAACCGGGGAGGGUCAUUGGAAACUGGGAGACUUGAGUGCAGAAGAGGAGAGUGGAAUUCCAUGUGUAGCGGUGAAAUGCGUAGAUAUAUGGAGGAACACCAGUGGCGAAGGCGGCUCUCUGGUCUGUAACUGACGCUGAGGCUCGAAAGCGUGGGGAGCAAACAGGAUUAGAUACCCUGGUAGUCCACGCCGUAAACGAUGAGUGCUAAGUGUUGGAGGGUUUCCGCCCUUCAGUGCUGCAGCUAACGCAUUAAGCACUCCGCCUGGGGAGUACGACCGCAAGGUUGAAACUCAAGGAAUUGACGGGGGCCCGCACAAGCGGUGGAGCAUGUGGUUU
rnacentral:rRNA from 1 species